rnacentral:rRNA from 1 species
ACGCUGGCGGCAGGCCUAACACAUGCAAGUCGAGCGGCAGCACGGGUACUUGUACCUGGUGGCGAGCGGCGGACGGGUGAGUAAUGCCUAGGAAUCUGCCUGGUAGUGGGGGAUAACGCUCGGAAACGGACGCUAAUACCGCAUACGUCCUACGGGAGAAAGCAGGGGACCUUCGGGCCUUGCGCUAUCAGAUGAGCCUAGGUCGGAUUAGCUAGUUGGUGGGGUAAUGGCUCACCAAGGCGACGAUCCGUAACUGGUCUGAGAGGAUGAUCAGUCACACUGGAACUGAGACACGGUCCAGACUCCUACGGGAGGCAGCAGUGGGGAAUAUUGGACAAUGGGCGAAAGCCUGAUCCAGCCAUGCCGCGUGUGUGAAGAAGGUCUUCGGAUUGUAAAGCACUUUAAGUUGGGAGGAAGGGCAGUUACCUAAUACGUAUCUGUUUUGACGUUACCGACAGAAUAAGCACCGGCUAACUCUGUGCCAGCAGCCGCGGUAAUACAGAGGGUGCAAGCGUUAAUCGGAAUUACUGGGCGUAAAGCGCGCGUAGGUGGUUUGUUAAGUUGAAUGUGAAAUCCCCGGGCUCAACCUGGGGAACUGCAUGCAAAACUGGCAAGCUAGAGUAUGGUA